ACUCCACUGUGGCAUCCAAAGCGUUUUAUUGUUCACUCUGAGGCUCCCAGGCUCACCUGGCUUUGCUGCCAGGCCCAGGGAAAAGCUCCGAAAGCAAAAUGCCCGUCAGCCAGUUGGAAAAGGAAAAUCCAAGGCACUGAAUAAAAAAACAAGUGGGAUUUCGUACGUGGAAAAGGCUUCAUAUAAAUAGGUAAGAAAAUAUUUCUUUGUUUAGGGAGGAGUCUCAACCCCAGCUCUGUCCAAGAGACCGUUCUGUCCCUAACGAAAAGUCCAUGGAAAGAAGUAAAAAAUCCUGUCUUCAAAGGAGAGCAGGAAUAAAGCAAACUUCCCAGAGUAAGAAAUGAGGAAUUUCAGCAUGGAAACACCACGGCUGGAGCUUCCCAACAUCCCAGAUCCAGUUUGGGUCCCUGAUCCAGGUCCUGCCGGGCCAGCUCGCUCUGCUGCCUCACCCACCUGCGGGAAUUAAAUCCAUGGAAAAGGAGACGUCACCAGGCUCCCCCAGACAAAUCCUGCUCAGGAUCAUCCCCUGGGCCCGGCAGCAGCUCCUUAAAGGCUUCGGACGUGACCCGAGACCUCACCUGCCGGGGCACUGCAGGGACAAUUCCCACGGAUCCUCCAGCCAUCCCUCCCCAAACCCCACCAUUCCCAGCAGCUGGAGCAGCAUCCCAGUCCCUCAGGGGCACCCCCUUACAGGUGGCAUGUGAAGGAGGGAAAUAAAUCAGGGAAUUUGCCCCC